rnacentral:rRNA from 1 species
GACAGAGGGUGCAAACGUUGUUCGGAUUUACUGGGCGUAAAGCGCGUGUAGGUGGCUUUGCAAGUCGGAUGUGAAAUCCCACGGCUCAACCGUGGAAGUGCAUCCGAAACUGCAUCGCUCGAGUCUCGGAGAGGAAGGUGGAAUGCUUGGUGUAGAGGUGAAAUUCGUAGAUAUCAAGCAGAACACCUGCGGCGAAGGCGGCCUUCUGGACGAUGACUGACGCUGAGACGCGAAAGCGUGGGGAGCAAACAGG